UUUCAGUAGGGAAGAAGCCGCAAGGUGACGGUACCUGCAGAAGAAGCGCCGGCUAACUACGUGCCAGCAGCCGCGGUAAUACGUAGGGCGCAAGCGUUAUCCGGAAUUAUUGGGCGUAAAGAGCUCGUAGGCGGUUUGUCGCGUCUGCCGUGAAAGUCCGGGGCUCAACUCCGGAUCUGCGGUGGGUACGGGCAGACUAGAGUGAUGUAGGGGAGACUGGAAUUCCUGGUGUAGCGGUGAAAUGCGCAGAUAUCAGGAGGAACACCGAUGGCGAAGGCAGGUCUCUGGGCAUUAACUGACGCUGAGGAGCGAAAGCAUGGGGAGCGAACAGGAUUAGAUACCCUGGUAGUCCAUGCCGUAAACGUUGGGCACUAGGUGUGGGGGACAUUCCACGUUUUCCGCGCCGUAGCUAACGCAUUAAGUGCCCCGCCUGGGGAGUACGGCCGCAAGGCUAAAACUCAAAGGAAUUGACGGGGGCCCGCACAAGCGGCGGAGCAUGCGGAUUAAUUCGAUGCAACGCGAAGAACCUUACCAAGGCUUGACAUGAACCAGACCGGACUGGAAACAGUUCUUCCACUUGUGGCUGGUUUACAGGUGGUGCAUGGUUGUCGUCAGCUCGUGUCGUGAGAUGUUGGGUUAAGUCCCGCAACGAGCGCAACCCUCGUUCUAUGUUGCCAGCGGUUCGGCCGGGGACUCAUAGGAGACUGCCGGGGUCAACUCGGAGGAAGGUGGGGACGACGUCAAAUCAUCAUGCCCCUUAUGUCUUGGGCUUCACGCAUGCUACAAUGGCCGGUACAAAGGGUUGCGAUACUGUGAGGUGGAGCUAAUCCCAAAAAGCCGGUCUCAGUUCGGAUUGGGGUCUGCAACUCGACCCCAUGAAGUCGGAGUCGCUAGUAAUCGCAGAUCAGCAACGCUGCGGUGAAUACGUUCCCGGGCCUUGUACACACCGCCCGUCAAGUCACGAAAGUUGGUAACACCCGAAGCCGGUGGCCUAACCCCUUGUGGGAGGGA
rnacentral:rRNA from 1 species